rnacentral:rRNA from 1 species
AGACCCGAAACCCGGUGAUCUAGCCAUGGGCAGGUUGAAGGUUGGGUAACACUAACUGGAGGACCGAACCGACUAAUGUUGAAAAAUUAGCGGAUGACCUGUGGCUGGGGGUGAAAGGCCAAUCAAACCGGGAGAUAGCUGGUUCUCCCCGAAAGCUAUUUAGGUAGCGCCUCGUGAACUCAUCUCCGGGGGUAGAGCACUGUUUCGGCUAGGGGGCCAUCCCGGCUUACCAACCCGAUGCAAACUGCGAAUACCGGAGAAUGUUAUCACGGGAGACACACGGCGGGUGCUAACGUCCGUCGUGAAGAGGGAAACAACCCAGACCGCCAGCUAAGGUCCCAAAGUCAUGGUUAAGUGGGAAACGAUGUGGGAAGGCCCAGACAGCCAGGAUGUUGGCUUAGAAGCAGCCAUCAUUUAAAGAAAGCGUAAUAGCUCACUGGUCGAGUCGGCCUGCGCGGAAGAUGUAACGGGGCUAAACCAUGCACCGAAGCUGCGGCAGCGACACUGUGUGUUGUUGGGUA